rnacentral:rRNA from 1 species
GAAUAUUGCACAAUGGGCGAAAGCCUGAUGCAGCAAUGCCGCGUGUGUGAAGAAGGCCUGCGGGUUGUAAAGCACUUUUAUCAGGAAAGAAACAGCCUGGGGUUAAUACCCCCGGGCCUUGACGGUACCUGAGGAAUAAGCACCGGCUAACUCCGUGCCAGCAGCCGCGGUAAUACGGAGGGUGCAAGCGUUAAUCGGAAUUACUGGGCGUAAAGCGAGUGUAGGCGGCUACGUAAGUCGGUUGUGAAAGCCCCAGGCUUAACCUGGGAAUUGCGUUCGAUACUGCGUGGCUAGAGUCUGAUAGAGGGAAGUGGAAUUCCAGGUGUAGCGGUGAAAUGCGUAGAUAUCUGGAGGAACAUCAGUGGCGAAGGCGGCUUCCUGGAUCAAGACUGACGCUCAGGCUCGAAAGCGUGGGUAGCAAACAGGA